rnacentral:rRNA from 1 species
AACGAACGCUGGCGGCAUGCCUAACACAUGCAAGUCGAACGAGACCUUCGGGUCUAGUGGCGCACGGGUGCGUAACGCGUGGGAAUCUGCCCUUGGGUGCGGAAUAACAGUUAGAAAUGACUGCUAAUACCGCAUAAUGACUCCGGUCCAAAGAUUUAUCGCCCAAGGAUGAGCCCGCGUCGGAUUAGCUAGUUGGUGAGGUAAAAGCUCACCAAGGCGACGAUCCGUAGCUGGUCUGAGGGGAUGAUCAGCCACACUGGGACUGAGACACGGCCCAGACUCCUACGGGAGGCAGCAGUGGGGAGUAUUGGACAAUGGGCGAAAGCCUGAUCCAGCAAUGCCGCGUGAGUGAUGAAGGCCUUAGGGUUGUAAAGCUCUUUUACCCGGGAUGAUAAUGACAGUACCGGGAGAAUAAGCCCCGGCUAACUCCGUGCCAGCCGCCGCGGUAAGAC